AUAUAAGCAAAAUUGACUUUUUGGUUCAUUCAAUUAAUGAUGUAUGUGGUCUAUAAUAUGAACCACAUACAUCAUUAAUUAAAUGAACCUAAAAAGUCAAUUUUGCUUAUAU
rfam:Medicago truncatula strain A17 chromosome 8, whole genome shotgun sequence.